rnacentral:rRNA from 1 species
GAUGAACGCUAGCGGGAGGCUUAACACAUGCAAGUCGAGGGGCAGCAUAGGGUAGCAAUACUCUGAUGGCGACCGGCAAACGGGUGAGUAACGCGUAUGCAACCUACCCUGUACAGGGGGAUAACCCGGAGAAAUUCGGACUAAUAUCCCGUAAUAAUAUCCGGAGGCAUCUUUGGAUAUUUAAAGUUCCGACGGUACGGGAUGGGCAUGCGUAACAUUAGCUGGUUGGUAAGGUAACGGCUUACCAAGGCUAUGAUGUUUAGGGGUCCUGAGAGGGUGGUCCCCCAACUGGUACUGAGACACGGACCAGACUCCUACGGGAGGCAGCAGUGAGGAAUAUUGGUCAAGUGGGCGCAAGCCUGAACCAGCCAUCCCGCGUGCAGGAAGACGGCCCUAUGGGUUGUAAACUGCUUUUCCAGGGAGAGAAACUUACGCACGUGUUGCGUGACUGACGGUACCCUGGGAAUAAGCAUCGGCUAACUCCGUGCCAGCAGCCGCGGUAAGACGUAGCGUG